rnacentral:rRNA from 1 species
AUUGAACGCUGGCGGCAGGCCUAACACAUGCAAGUCGAACGAGUGGCGGACGGGUGAGUAAUGUCUGGGAAACUGCCCGAUGGAGGGGGCUAACUAACGGAAACGGUAGCUAAUACCGCAUACAAUCGGAUGUGCCCAGAUGGGAUUAGCUGGUAGGGGAGGUAAAGGCUCACCUAGGCGACGAUACCUAGCUGGUCUGAGAGGAUGACCGGCAACACGGGAACGGAGCAACGUGCCAGACGCUUACUGGAGGCAGCAGUGGGGAAUAGUGCACAAGGGGGGCAAGCCGGAUGCAGCCAUGCCGCGUGUAUGAAGAAGGCCUUCGGGUUGUAAAGUACUUUCAGCGGGGAGGCGGUACCCGCAGAAGAAGCACCGGCUAACUCCGUGCCAUCAGCCGCGGUAAUUC